UCACUCCGCCGUCCAUAGCAACGCCGUUGCUAAGGACGACGUUUUCGCGGGCGGCGGGCUGAAAUUUCAUCCGAGUUGUUGACAGCCGAUUACAUCACCAGUUUCGGCCUCUGCAUCAAGAUGGCGAUCAUCCUAGGCUUCACCGACUGUAAAAUUGGUGAAAGUCAUGCCCAACAGGAUUGUCACCAGCAGGAUACCAGGAUGUUAUAUUUAGCUUGAGAUUAUGGAUAUAUAUAUAAGAUGUAUUAUGUACAGAGAUCUUAAUCCCCAUUUAUUUUGUUUAUUGUAAUGUUAAUACAAUUUGGGAGCGUAUUUAAUAUUCGAUUCAGCAUCCAAUGUCUACUCUAACUUUCAAGCAUGUGUUAAGUAAUAUACAUGUAUGUACUGUAAAAGAUCCCCAAUGUAAUGAGACUUUGAUAUCACAAGUAUUUGAUAUCCCAAUCCACAACAAAAUGUACUACUUUGUUAUUUGGUAAUGAGAUAAAUGUUAAAGCAACCUUAAUGGCUCUUUGGUAAUUUUGUGUAUAAUUGAUUAAUCAAUAUAAAGGACAAUUAACAUGUAUGUGAGAGAGAUAUGUUUAGGGAUUUCCCAAGGCCCAGCACUUUUAGAAAUAAACAAGUGCUACUCUGUAAAACUAGGGACAUGAGGACCUGUUAUCUUAUUACAGUAAGCAGUACACAUGGACUAUACAUGUAGAUUGGAUAUAACAGAUCCAGGAUAAACUUACCAAUAAUCACAACAUACAAUGUACAUGUUGCACUGUCCUGAUUAGGGACCAUAAUUGUUGGGUUAUCUUCAGGCUACAUUUUACUGAACCAGCAGGUGGAUACAUGUAACUUUUCUAAAGUAACUGUUUAAACCCAGUGCCAUUCAAAUCGAGAAAAACGGAUACAAUUAUUAUUCUUUGAAUUACCCCAAUCAUAAAUCAAUGUGUGAGGUAUUCUAGUUCUAAUGGUCCGCUUGCUAUAAUUAAUUUUUCAAAGGUCAGGAAGCUACGAGAGUAUAAUGUUUCCCCGCGUUUAGGCAGACGCUGGUUUCGAGUUUUCAGAUCGGCCGUAGCUAUCAAGGGACCAGAAACAUAUAUUCUCAGUGCAAAAUCAAAAGAACCUGUUUAGAUAUGAGAUGAAUUAACACCCAGUGUGGUCUAACUAAAAGUAGUUUAGACAUAGAUAGACAAUAAUUUAAAUCUAGCGAUGUAUGGUCAUGUAUAGGACAUGUAGGAGAGGAGCGCGCUCCGUAGAACACACGUAGCUUAGACACCGUACCGGCGCGCCAGGGAUGCGCGUUCUAUUUGGUGUAAAUUUCUGCCUU